rnacentral:rRNA from 1 species
GGGUUGUGAGGUUAAGCGACUAAGCGUACACGGUGGAUGCCCUGGCAGUCAGAGGCGAUGAAGGACGUGCUAAUCUGCGAUAAGCGUCGGUGAGGUGAUAUGAACCGUUAUAACCGGCGAUUUCCGAAUGGGGAAACCCAGUGUGUUUCGACACACUAUCAUUAACUGAAUCCAUAGGUUAAUGAGGCGAACCGGGGGAACUGAAACAUCUAAGUACCCCGAGGAAAAGAAAUCAACCGAGAUUCCCCCAGUAGCGGCGAGCGAACGGGGAGCAGCCCAGAGCCUGAAUCAGUGUGUGUGUUAGUGGAAGCGUCUGGAAAGGCGCGCGAUACAGGGUGACAGCCCCGUACACAAAAAUGCACAUGCUGUGAGCUCGAUGAGUAGGGCGGGACACGUGGUAUCCUGUCUGAAUAUGGGGGGACCAUCCUCCAAGGCUAAAUACUCCUGACUGACCGAUAGUGAACCAGUACCGUGAGGGAAAGGCGAAAAGAACCCCGGCGAGGGGAGUGAAAAAGAACCUGAAACCGUGUACGUACAAGCAGUGGGAGCCUCUUUAUGGGGUGACUGCGUACCUUUUGUAUAAUGGGUCAGCGACUUAUAUUCUGUAGCAAGGUUAACCGAAUAGGGGAGCCGAAGGGAAACCGAGUCUUAACUGGGCGUUAAGUUGCAGGGUAUAGACCCGAAACCCGGUGAUCUAGCCAUGGGCAGGUUGAAGGUUGGGUAACACUAACUGGAGGACCGAACCGACUAAUGUUGAAAAAUUAGCGGAUGACUUGUGGCUGGGGGUGAAAGGCCAAUCAAACCGGGAGAUAGCUGGUUCUCCCCGAAAGCUAUUUAGGUAGCGCCUCGUGAAUUCAUCUCCGGGGGUAGAGCACUGUUUCGGCAAGGGGGUCAUCCCGACUUACCAACCCGAUGCAAACUGCGAAUACCGGAGAAUGUUAUCACGGGAGACACACGGCGGGUGCUAACGUCCGUCGUGAAGAGGGAAACAACCCAGACCGCCAGCUAAGGUCCCAAAGUCAUGGUUAAGUGGGAAACGAUGUGGGAAGGCCCAGACAGCCAGGAUGUUGGCUUAGAAGCAGCCAUCAUUUAAAGAAAGCGUAAUAGCUCACUGGUCGAGUCGGCCUGCGCGGAAGAUGUAACGGGGCUAAACCAUGCACCGAAGCUGCGGCAGCGACACUAUGUGUUGUUGGGUAGGGGAGCGUUCUGUAAGCCUGUGAAGGUGUACUGUGAGGUAUGCUGGAGGUAUCAGAAGUGCGAAUGCUGACAUAAGUAACGAUAAAGCGGGUGAAAAGCCCGCUCGCCGGAAGACCAAGGGUUCCUGUCCAACGUUAAUCGGGGCAGGGUGAGUCGACCCCUAAGGCGAGGCCGAAAGGCGUAGUCGAUGGGAAACAGGUUAAUAUUCCUGUACUUGGUGUUACUGCGAAGGGGGGACGGAGAAGGCUAUGUUGGCCGGGCGACGGUUGUCCCGGUUUAAGCGUGUAGGCUGGUUUUCCAGGCAAAUCCGGAAAAUCAAGGCUGAGGCGUGAUGACGAGGCACUACGGUGCUGAAGCAACAAAUGCCCUGCUUCCAGGAAAAGCCUCUAAGCAUCAGGUAACAUCAAAUCGUACCCCAAACCGACACAGGUGGUCAGGUAGAGAAUACCAAGGCGCUUGAGAGAACUCGGGUGAAGGAACUAGGCAAAAUGGUGCCGUAACUUCGGGAGAAGGCACGCUGAUAUGUAGGUGAAGCGACUUGCUCGUGGAGCUGAAAUCAGUCGAAGAUACCAGCUGGCUGCAACUGUUUAUUAAAAACACAGCACUGUGCAAACACGAAAGUGGACGUAUACGGUGUGACGCCUGCCCGGUGCCGGAAGGUUAAUUGAUGGGGUUAGCGGUAACGCGAAGCUCUUGAUCGAAGCCCCGGUAAACGGCGGCCGUAACUAUAACGGUCCUAAGGUAGCGAAAUUCCUUGUCGGGUAAGUUCCGACCUGCACGAAUGGCGUAAUGAUGGCCAGGCUGUCUCCACCCGAGACUCAGUGAAAUUGAACUCGCUGUGAAGAUGCAGUGUACCCGCGGCAAGACGGAAAGACCCCGUGAACCUUUACUAUAGCUUGACACUGAACAUUGAGCCUUGAUGUGUAGGAUAGGUGGGAGGCUUUGAAGUGUGGACGCCAGUCUGCAUGGAGCCGGCCUUGAAAUACCACCCUUUAAUGUUUGAUGUUCUAACGUUGGCCCCUGAUCGGGGUUGCGGACAGUGUCUGGUGGGUAGUUUGACUGGGGCGGUCUCCUCCUAAAGAGUAACGGAGGAGCACGAAGGUUGGCUAAUCCUGGUCGGACAUCAGGAGGUUAGUGCAAUGGCAUAAGCCAGCUUGACUGCGAGCGUGACGGCGCGAGCAGGUGCGAAAGCAGGUCAUAGUGAUCCGGUGGUUCUGAAUGGAAGGGCCAUCGCUCAACGGAUAAAAGGUACUCCGGGGAUAACAGGCUGAUACCGCCCAAGAGUUCAUAUCGACGGCGGUGUUUGGCACCUCGAUGUCGGCUCAUCACAUCCUGGGGCUGAAGUAGGUCCCAAGGGUAUGGCUGUUCGCCAUUUAAAGUGGUACGCGAGCUGGGUUUAGAACGUCGUGAGACAGUUCGGUCCCUAUCUGCCGUGGGCGCUGGAGAACUGAGGGGGGCUGCUCCUAGUACGAGAGGACCGGAGUGGACGCAUCACUGGUGUUCGGGUUGUCAUGCCAAUGGCACUGCCCGGUAGCUAAAUGCGGAAGAGAUAAGUGCUGAAAGCAUCUAAGCACGAAACUUGCCCCGAGAUGAGUUCUCCCUGAGACUUAGAGUCUCCUGAAGGAACGUUGAAGACGACGACGUUGAUAGGCCGGGUGUGUAAGCGCAGCGAUGCGUUGAGCUAACCGGUACUAAUGAACCGUGAGGCUUAACCUUACAACGCCGAAG